AUGUAUUGAAAACCUUUUAAUGUAUUCUCGUUAUAUUCCAGAUACCAUCAGUCCCGGUCAAAGGAGCGUCCAUUGUAUCACAGUAGACACAGGUCACCCAGUGGGGACAGUCAGGACGAGGAGAGGAGAGAUGGGAGGAGUCAACAACGGGGACAUAGACACGAGUCUGGAUAUGAAUCUCACCAGGACUUUGAGUCUCCAACUUUAACUCGUAGGGCUCGCGGGAGAAACAACAGUGAUAGUACCUGGGGCCCUUCGACCCCGCCCACUCCCAGAGACUCCAAGAAAGGAUUCUUAGGGUUUUUCUCAAAGAAAAGUGCAAGUUUGACUAGCCUUGCCUCUACAAAAUCAGACAGUGGUGAAAGAGGCAGUAUAUCAAGUUAUAAACUUUGAAAGAGGGAAAGGGACAAUUGCGUACCAUUAUUGAUCUUGUUAGAUAACAUUUGAAUGAUGUUCACGAUGUAACUGUAAAUUUUGUCUUUAUCAAUUUUUUCUUAUUAUUAAUUUAUGCAUAUUUAAAUUAUUUUUGUUCUUU